GAUCUCAAGUUCCUGGUAAGCAGAAGACACCUUGCUGCACCGGUCCCUGGUCUCCCUUUUCACGCCACAACCUUCACUAGCACCACAAUCAGCUUUGUGACUGUUGUCAACAGUUCGAUUACAAACAGGGCUUUCGGGAAAGGGCCGCCCUGGCCUUCAGCGGGACAUCGAGGAGGCACCACAACCCGAGGAUCCAGCUCAGGUCCAGACUCCAGCUCCGCACGCAUGCGGUACAGGCGGACCACCAGCAACUGCCUGCAGCCACACAGCGCAGCUGGAGCCCGGCAGCAUCCCACCAGGAUGAGCUGCUUCUGCCCCCCUGCGCCCUGAGCCCACCAGCCUCCAGCCGCGACACGAAGAGGGACAGGAUGGCAGAAAGGACCGGGAAAAUCCAGAGCGCCCAAGGGUUCGUCUUUGCAACCAGAGAGACAGCUGGAGAUGUUAAAUGGGAGUCUCUGGCAGCCCCACACUUUCAGGGCAAGUUUCCUGAAAUGGGGAAACUCCCAGCUGAAAAUCCUGCUGGUUUAUCCCAUCUGCCAUACUUAGCACCUCUUCCAGUCAAAGCAGCAGUGUCC